GGGGGCGUAAAUGGUUUCGACGGGGAUAUAGAAGGAAGAUAAGCGAGUCGUUGUCGCCAAACAACGCAAAAAGUGGCAACUAAAUAUAAACGCAAAAGAAAAUAAUAAUUUAGCAUUCGCAGCGUAAGCUGCUCGCUUGUCCCGCUCAGACCACCUGCAGUUUGAACCGGGGCAUCAUCUAAAGCAGGGAACGAUUUAAGGGGCUCUUCGACCUUAAGUUGUACAAUCGAAGAUAGCUGAGACUUAAGCCCGGACAUAGGCGUAAGUCAAGGCGAAACAAAAAAUGUGUCCUGCACUCGGAGAAAGUCUUGUGGAAAUAUUUUCGGACGUGGGUUCGACUCCCACCGCCUCCAUCU
rnacentral:tmRNA from 1 species